CAUGACGGUACCGUAAGAAUAAGCACCGGCUAACUACGUGCCAGCAGCCGCGGUGAUACGUAGGGUGCGAGCGUUGUCCGGAUUUAUUGGGCGUAAAGGGCUCGUAGGUGGUUGAUCGCGUCGGAAGUGUAAUCUUGGGGCUUAACCCUGAGCGUGCUUUCGAUACGGGUUGACUUGAGGAAGGUAGGGGAGAAUGGAAUUCCUGGUGGAGCGGUGGAAUGCGCAGAUAUCAGGAGGAACACCAGUGGCGAAGGCGGUUCUCUGGGCCUUUCCUGACGCUGAGGAGCGAAAGCGUGGGGAGCGAACAGGCUUAGAUACCCUGGUAGUCCACGCUGUAAACGGUGGGUACUAGGUGUGGGGUCCAUUCCACGGGUUCCGUGCCGUAGCUAACGCUUUAAGUACCCCGCCUGGGGAGUACGGCCGCAAGGCUAAAACUCAAAGGAAUUGACGGGGGCCCGCACAAGCGGCGGAGCAUGUGGAUUAAUUCGAUGCAACGCGAAGAACCUUACCAAGGCUUGACAUAU
rnacentral:rRNA from 1 species